ensembl:lncRNA
AGUUCCUGGAAAAAUCUGCAAGUCCUUUAUGGUGACACUCCUUAUGGCAAAAGGCCCAAAUAUUCCAGUAGGUGUGAUCUGGACCUCCAUUUCUUGUGUUAAUAUGUAUCUGGAGUUGAGACCGAGGUCAUUAAGAUUUUUCCUGAAAAGUUUUGGUGCAUAGGAGUGGUGGGCAUUAAAAAUGGCUGUUGGGUUGACAUUCUCCCCUGAAAAUAAGUCUGAGGCCUUCAUGUAGUUUCUAUGAAAAAAAAAAAAGCAACAAAUAAAUAAGUGGCCAUUCUUCACCACAACUCAGGAAUCUAUACUCAUUUCCCCAACAAUUUCCUUGUUUACAAUGAGAAUAUAAACCUGGAAAUUUAGCCAUCAAGACCUGAGCUUUGUAGACAUUGUCAGUUAAAAUGCCCAGAAGGAUCAUAUUUAAAGAUCUGUUACCAUUAUCUUUAUUCGUUUUUCCCCUCGUUGGCUGCCAAUAAUUGAGGCACCUUUUGGCAUUGGAGGGCAGCGGCCAGAGAGAACACUUGUGAAUAUGGAGACCAAUAUCAGCAAAGAAGCAGAGGUAAUUGAUAUCUCUAUUUUUUUCUUAAAGGAUGGAUGGCAGUCUGGCAUGCUGUAUUAGCAUUCUCAUAUACCAGUUGUUUAACAAUUCCCCAUCAACCACCAGGCUGUUGACUACCUGCAAAAAAAUGGAGUGAACACAGUUCAGGAAUUGAGUCAUGCGAUAAGUCUGUGGGGUAGUGGACCAAGCCACCAGAACUGGUAGCAAAAGACUGAAUGAUUGGCUGGUGAGUUUGUCAGAGGAUGGUCUACUAAAAAACGUGAAGAUUCUGGAUGAGACCAUGCAGGAAGAGCUGCCAUGGGUAUCUGGUUUUCCCUGGUGUUGACUGGAUGAUUCUGAUGCCAGCAG